GGAGGUGAACUGUGCAAGUGGAAGUGCAGGAGCAGAGAUGGGAUAACCAGGAAUCCAACACCUGAGCUAAACACCUGUGUGAAUUGUUGAAGAAGACAAGAAAGACUCAGAAAGAACCAGUGAAACCCCAGCACCAGCUGGCAUGAAACUAAGCCCAUUUCAGAAGAAGCAUUACUAGGAUGGCUACUGAACACUGAGAGCUUGGCUUUCCCAAAAAAAGAGAAAAUGGGAAUGACAAGCUUUAAAUUACUGUAAAAUAUGGAAGUGCUUACUGAA